rnacentral:rRNA from 1 species
CACGUAGGGGGCAAGCGUUGUCCGGAUUUAUUGGGCGUAAAGAGCUCGUAGGCGGCUCGGUAAGUUGGGCGUGAAACCUCCAGGCUCAACCUGGAGACGCCACCCGAUACUGCUGUGACUAGAGUCCGGUAGGGGAGCGUGGAAUUCCUGGUGUAGCGGUGAAAUGCGUAGAGAUGCGGAGGAACACCGAUGGCGAAGGCAGCCCCCUGGGCUAACACUGACGCUCAGGCACGAAAGCGUGGGGAGCAAACAGG